rnacentral:tRNA from 1 species
GGAUAGAAGCACGGCAGUAUGAAUGGCAUUCAAGAGGUCAGGGGUUCGACUCCCCUCAGCUCCACCA